CCGCCGAAAGAGACGGCGCAGCCUGCCCU
rnacentral:sRNA from 1 species